rnacentral:rRNA from 1 species
UACGGAGGAUCCGAGCGUUAUCCGGAUUUAUUGGGUUUAAAGGGUGCGCAGGCGGAAUAUUAAGUCGGCGGUGAAAGUUUGCAGCUUAACUGUAAAAUUGCCGUUGAUACUGGUAUUCUUGAGUGUAUAUGAAGUAGGCGGAAUUUGUAGUGUAGCGGUGAAAUGCAUAGAUAUUACUCAGAACACCGAUUGCGAAGGCAGCUUACUAAUCCACAACUGACACUGAGGCACGAAAGCGUGGGGAUCAAACAGGAUUAGAUACCCCGGUA